rnacentral:rRNA from 1 species
GACGAACGCUGGCGGCGUGCUUAACACAUGCAAGUCGAACGGAAAGGCCCAGCUUGCUGGGUACUCGAGUGGCGAACGGGUGAGUAACACGUGGGUGAUCUGCCCUGCACUCUGGGAUAAGCCUGGUAAACUGGGUCUAAUACCGGAUAUGACCGACUGUCGCAUGGUGGUUGGUGGAAAGCUUUUGCGGUGUGGGAUGGGCCCGCGGCCUAUCAGCUUGUUGGUGGGGUAAUGGCCUACCAAGGCGACGACAGGUAGCCGACCUGAGAAGGUGAUCGGCCUCACUGGGACUGCGGCACGGCCCAGACUCCUACGGGAGGCAGCAGUGGGGAAUAUGGCACAAUGGGCGCAAGCCUGAUGCAGCGACGCCGCGUGAGGGAUGACGGCCUUCGGGUUGUAAACAUCUUUCUCCAGGGACGAAGCGUGAGUGACGGUACCUGGAGAAGAAGCACCGGCCAACUACGUG